GACAGAGGGUGCAAACGUUGUUCGGAUUUACUGGGCGUAAAGCGCACGUAGGCGGGUCGUUAAGUCGAGGGUGAAAUCCUGGAGCUCAACUCCAGAACUGCCUUCGAUACUGGCGACCUAGAGUCCGGAAGAGGUGAGUGGAACCCCUAGUGUAGAGGUGGAAUUCGUAGAUAUUAGGAAGAACACCAGUGGCGAAGGCGGCUCACUGGUCCGGUACUGACGCUGAGGUGCGAAAGCGUGGGGAGCGAACCGG
rnacentral:rRNA from 1 species